rnacentral:rRNA from 1 species
UACGAAGGGGGCAAGCGUUGUUCAGAAUUACUGGGCGUAAAGGAGCGCGUGAGCGGCUUAUCAAGUCAGGCGUGAAAGCCCCGGGCUCAACCUGGGAACCGCGCUUGAGACUGGAGAACUAGAGUUCGGGAGAGGAUGGUGGAAUUCCCAGUGUAGAGGUGAAAUUCGUAGAUAUUGGGAAGAACACCGAUGGCGAAGGCAGCCAUCUGGACCGACACUGACGCUGAGGCGCGAAAGCGUGGGGAGCAAACAGG